GAAAUAGCUCAGGUAGACUUAGACUGGGAGAAGAAGUGUGAACUCUUUACAGCCUCAUGGGCCCAUGAACCAUGCGGGCAUCUAGGAAAAGAUGCAACCUACAGACGAGCUUGUGAUUGAGGGGUCGGCCUGACCACGGAGGCUAUCACACAGGUCACCGGUGAAUGUGAAACGUGCUGCAAUCAAGUGAGCCACAUGAGUGAAAUGUCCUUGGAAUAGAUGGCCAAAGUGAGUUUUAAAUCUGCUGAGGCCUGGCAAAUUGACUAUAUUGGACCACUGCCAUGAACACACCAAGGCAAGAGCUUACAUGCUCAUCGUGGUAGAGGCAACUACUGGUUGGCUGUAAAAAUACCCUGUAAACCAUGCUAUUGCUUGAAACGCUGUCUUAGGCCUUGAGAGAGACAUUUUGUGGUGACAUGGUACCCCAGAAAGAAUGGAAUCAAUGAGUCUCCUUGUCUUAGUUUGGAAAGACAGGUGUCUGCCAGGGAAAAGCUGGAGCUUCCCUUGGAAUGGGGAAUGUAAACCCCCUCGCUCUGAAUUAUUUUAAUUUUGAAAUUAAGGAGCUUUCAGGCAAAGAUAUGGGAAUAGGAAUAACAGUUCUUUACUAGGAAUAUUAAAAACGAAGUAGUACAAAAAAGGAAACGAACAAAAAAGAAAAACACUGGCAGAGUCAGAACACGACCUGACACCCUGUUGGUCAGGGUGUUGGUAGCAGUCCAAUUAAGUCCUGGAGUGACAGAUGUGGUUCUGUUGGAGUAGAGAUGAUCCCGUGGAAGGAUCCAGCGGUGGCGAGAUGGGUCUGGUCUUCCUCUGGGAAGCCAGUGGAAAACAGGCUGUCCUGGUGUUCUGAAUCUCAGGUUUUAUCCAGGUAGGAAAGCUUGGCUCCUCCCACUGGGUGGAGCAUCUCACAAUGGGAUGAUGCCAUUUUAUCAGUCAUGCAGUGAGCCUUAAUGGCUCAUUAACAGCAGAUAUCCCCCUGGAAGGAGGAUGGGUCAGGGAAGAGAUAGGAACACUGCCCCACCUGGUUUUAACAGCUGGCCCAUUAACAGAAGACACCUGCCCCCUUCCCCCCGGAGCCAUGAGGAAUGGGUCAUAGAAGAGAUAAAGAAACACCUCCCCAACCAGUUUCAACAGAUGGGAAUAGAAUACAUCUUGCAUUGAACCCAAGACACUCAUUUAUGAAAUAACCUCAUAAACUCUUAGGCAAAGAAACAUGCAUUGAGUAGAUAUAUCACAUCCCUUAUCACCCACAAGCCUCUGGAAAGAUUGAGAGGUAUGAUGGACUGCUGAUGACUAUGUCAAGAGGGUUAGGCAAUCGGGCAUGGAAGCAUUGGGAUGCAAAUUUAGCAGAAGCCACUUGGCUGGUUAACACCAGAAGAUCUGCUAACCGCCCUGGUCCUGCCCAAACAAAACCACUACAUACUGUGGGAGGAGAUAAGGUCCCCAUACUACACACAGGGAAGUGGCUGUGGAAUUCUCCUCCCAUGGGAAAAGGCAAACCUAUUAAUGGGAUUGUCUUUGCUCAAGGACCUGGGUGUACUUGGUGGGUAGUGCAGAAGGAUGGGGAGACCCGGGGUGUGCCUCAAGGAGAUUUAACCUUGGGGGAAAAGUAAUGAGUGCAAACUGUAUGUUGCAGGAAGUAAAGUAGCAGGAGUGACAUGAACCGACGAUGAGUGAAUUUUACGAGGAGCGAGGAGAGUGCGAGGAUAGCCCAGGCAGGGCCGGUGUCGGUGCCGAACGGUCGAGUGUGUCGCUUCUGUCCCGAGCACCCAUCUUGAUGGAGUGGAGCCCAAGUCACAGCCUGUUUUUUAAACAUCUGGAGGGCUGGAGGAAACCCAUCAAAUGGGAAACUAAUAUCUGUCUUUGAAAGGAAGGGGGACGGUAGUUAAUGAAAAUGUAUACGUGUGUUGGACAUAAAGAUGGUUUAAGCAUGGAGUUUAAGUUGUAAGUGUUGGUAAGAAGGGAUUUCAGUCAUGACAAAUAAAUACAAUGGAAGAAUUAGAAGCCAGAUAUAGAUAUAUAUAUAAAAAAUUCUGUGGGAUCUGAGUAUGAUGCAAAUGGUGCGAAGUAAGGGGUGGAGACUGUACUGGCUGUGGCUGAGAUGGAGUUCAUUUUCCCCAUAGCGUCCAACAGUGCCAUGCUUUGCAUUUGUAUCUAGAAAGGUGUUGAUAACACAUCAGUGUUUUGGCUACUGCUGGGCAAUGUUGGCACAGCAUCAGCGCUGCCUCUCCAACAUUCUGCCCCCAAUAAGUAGGCUGGGAGUGGGCAAGAUCCUGGCAGGAGACACCACUAGACCAGGUGACCCAAACUGGCCAGAGGGCUAUUCUGUACCAUAUGACUUCAGCUCAGAAAUAAAAGCUAAGUUAAGGAGGGGGAAAGGGGGCACAUUAGUUAUUUACAGCGUUUGCCUUUCGGAGCAACCCCUACCUGUGCUGAAGCCCUGCUUCUUGGAAAGUGGUCGGACAGUGCUUGCUGAUGGGAACCAGAGGAUAUAUUUGUUUUUCCUGUUUCCUUUUUUGUGCGAAAACUUUCUCUUUUCCUUUAGUAAACUGCCCUAUCUCACCCUGUGAGUUGUUUUCCAUCUUAUUUUCUCUCUGUGUCAAGCUGAGAAGGGGGAGUGAUAGAACGACUCUGUGAGCACCAGAAAGAGGAGCUGGAAACCACUGGGCAGCCGGAAAGCUAACAAUGUAAUCACGAGAGUAAAAAUGUUCUGGGACAACUCAAUGACUGGAGCUCCCCAGUCAAUGGCUAUAAAGUGGUCAGAAGGAAGGAGAGGCAGAGGUGGUCCGCUGUGUGAACUCAAGAGGGAUUUUCUGUACAGAGCUGUCUUUGAAAGACAGCGAUGAACAGGUUGAGAGCUUAUGGGUGAAAAUUAGAGGCCAAGCUGUUGCGUUAAGAGUAAGAAACUUGGCAGAAAAUAAAGCCCCUUGCACUCCAGCUGCUCCUCAGACAUCAGAGGGACCGGGUGGGGUUAGGCCUAAUUUCCGGUUACAACCAGUUCAGCACUGUGAAUCUGGUUGCGUUCUCUAAGAACCUUUGUGAGCGCAGAUUCAGGAAUAGAGUGAUUUUCUGAAGUUACAGAACUAGAGAUUUGGAACUGCCAUUGAGAAAUGCACUAGCUGUGGUAGAAGUCUAAUAACAUCAUGCUAACCCAUGCAAUACUAAUAAUAGCAAUGGUAUGCAGAAGCUUCCCAAGAGAGCGUCCCCGCUUUGGAGGAGGGAGAAGAGAACAGACCGGCAACUGUCUCUGACAUCUCUUGGGAAUUCCUGCUACCUAGCUGAAAUUUCUACCCUCCUUAUAUGCAGCCCAAUCUUCUCCUCCUUACAUAUAGCAAGAUCUAAUUGGAGAGCUGAGUAAUAUAAUCAUAUACGUGGUAGCAUGUACUUCAGUAAGCUUAUUAGCAUAUGCAUGAGUGUGCAUUUUAAUACUUAAAUGACCCUUAAUCGGGCAAAGGUUACUUCUUUGGCCUUGGUGUCCUUCAGAGUUCCGCUCUUAAGACUUCUUUCCAUUUCAUGCCGUUCAUCAGAGCCAAGAAACGGCUUUCCUAGCUGCCCAUGAACUCCUCCUUCGGCCAUAUUGUCCUUUCUUGAUGUCAGCUAUGUGGAUCUCCAUCAGGAAAGAUAAUGUGGAGGGUACACGGUUUAGGCCAUAUAUAGUAAGCCUUAGCCCUUUCCUGACUCCAUGGUCAUCAUCCCACACAAGCCAACAAAGGAAGCCAACCUUGUGGUUGGUAUCUACUAUAGGCCACCAGAUUAAGAGGAUGAGGUCGACGUAAGAAAUCAGGCAAGUUAGGCGGGACAUGAGCGUUGCUGAGUAAGGGCCUUCUCUUCUGGUUGAGCUGAAGCAUGAAGUGGACAUGCAUAGGUAUUGGAAGCAGGGACACGCAUUCUGGGAAGAAUCUAAAGAUGCCGCCCAGGUCUGUAGGGAUGGGAUCAGAAAAGCUAAGGCAAAGCUGGAGCUGAAUUUGGCAGGGGAUGUAAAGAAUCAUAAGAUGGGCUUCCACAGGUGCAUUGGUCAGAAAAUAAGGCUAAAGAAAGCGUACGCCAACCCACAUUCCCUUCCUCCCUCCCCCCCUGCCCCCGCUGAUAAAUAAGCCAGGAGGUCUAGUGGCCAGUAACAUGGAGAAGGCUGUGAUACUCGGUGAGUCGUUUUCCUCUGUUUUCACUGGCACGGUUACCAAACCUCUUGAGACCCUGAACCUCAAGGCAGGGACUUGGGGAACAAAGUCCCUUCCAUCAUAGGAAACGAUCUGUUUUGAGACCACCCGAGGAACCUGUGGAUACACAAGUCCUGCACCUGGAGAGGCACAACGCCAUGCACCAGUACAUGCUGGAGGUCGAUUGGCUGGAAAGCAGCUUUGCAAAAUAGGACGACGUGCCCUUGCCGCAAAGGCGGCCAAGGAUCUCCUUAGCCCAAUAUCGAGGAAAGCAGGGUUUAUAUAUGUUACAAGAUAGAUGUGUGGGCCAUUCAAGGUGCUCACUGUCCCCGGAGCUGCAGGGCACAGCAGACCACCCUUGGGCAGAUUUGAGGGCGCUGCCUAUUUUUCUAAAAGCCUCCUAUCCAGCCUAACGCAAAUCCUACUAUCUUGAACCCUCAAGCCAGCAGUGCCGAACGCACGCUUUGUAUUUUAUUUGCUUCCAGGAGACGUGCAGCUUAGAAACGUCUGCAAUGGAAGUGGGGCUUUCAGCAAACAGUGUAGAGCAACUUCUGUUGGUUUUUCAAAAUGUCCCGAGAAGUUAAGGGCAGGCCUGCCCUGCCCUGGCCAAAGCAGUCAUUUGACUGAAGGGAGCAGCACCAAAAAGGCACAGGCACCUUUGGGGUGGACUUGAUGCGGUAACAAAUAAUAAGAAAUAGUGUUUGUAGCUACUACAGCCUCUUCUGCGACCUCGUAGCCCGCCCUCAGGGUCGCAGCACUACACGGGGCAGGUCCCUCGGCGCCCCGAGGGCCCCAGGUCGACGAGAGAGGACUCGCCAAGGAGGCGGGGAAAAACGAAAGAGACAGGCGGGACAGCAAAUGGAGACGCGGGCCACGAUCCGUCGGCCCAAUGGGCGCCGCGGAGGGCCGGGCUUAGUGGAGGAAGUGUCGGGGCGGACACGGGCUUUGUCCUUGGCUGACGAGAGUAUCGGGGUGCUGGCCUCUCGCCCUGGUGGCGCCACUACCGUCUUCGGAAAGAUUAUCAGCAAGGCGUUUCUGUGGUCUCGUCAGCGACGAGGACUAGGAGUGCCGUUCGUUCCAUGAUCGUUUUGCCCCUAGACGCGACACUUUUCCUAGUCAUGCCUAAGGAGCCAAUUAUCGAGUUGUCUGGAGCAGGAGAUUCUGGUGAAUCUCUUCUUGGGCAUGUCGUGAUUGUUGGCGAGAUGUGUGUUGCUCACCUGGGCCUGACCAAUGGAUUCCGGAUGGUUGUGGAUGAAGGGCCCGAGGGUGGGCAGUCUGUCUCUCGCAUACAUCUACCCGUUCUG